UGUGCGUUCGGGUGCGAGUGUCUGUGUGCCUGUGUGUCUGCGUGCAUGUGUGUGUCUGUUUGUAUGUCUUCGUGUGUUCACCUGUGUGUGCGUGUGCUAGCGCUGUAUGCUUGACCAGUGGUGUGGCCAGUGCACCCCAGCGCGGUUUCUCUGUAGUCAGUCUUGGUUCUGGUGCGCCUCUGACCUUGGCCCAGCUUAUGGGCAUUGGGGCCCCGUGUUCUUUAUGUUGCUCCUGGUUUCUAAAGCCUCAGUGUCGUUGGGGUCUGGCUCCCACCCGGGGGUCUCCUCAUCACCUGCCCAUCUCGACGGGUCAAUCCUCCAGAAAGAAGAUGAGCACAGCACACCCAAAACCCAACUAUUCCAAGGGCCCUUGGUCCUGCGGCACAUCUAGGGCUGGCCCCGUCCUCAGGACCCCUUGAGGGACUAGCUGCUGUCCCUCAACUGAUGUGCAUUGGACCUACUGAGGAUUCUUGUUAAAAGACAGAUUGUCAUCCUUGUGUUGGAGUGAGCCUGUGAUUCUGUGUUUCUGGUAGGCACUCACUCAGGGGAUGCCAGUUCUUAUGGGACAUGAUUGCUAUUUCCAGGAGCAAGUCUCAGUACUGUUCUUGAGAGUAAGAAUUGCAGAUGUAGAGUCUGCAUUUAAAGGCCUCUUUUCAAUAUAGUCUUUGUUUUUCUUCCUAUGUCCUUUCAUAAGAUAAUUAAAACACUCAAAGGCAGUAGAGAUGGAAACAGAGAGAUAGUUUCUAAAUUAAAUUUAUUUUGAAUGACUUAAUUAAUUGACUCUUGGUUAUUAGGGGUAGAUUAAAUUGUAUGCACUUAGCCAUGGGAUGAAAUCCCAGUGGGCUUGGUAUCAUGAAUAAUUGAAAUCGCGGUCAUGUAAGGAAACACUAAUAUAUUUAUCGUUCCAUGUCUUUCUGUCGAGAAUCCUUUGGUACCAAAUCUAGCGUGGGAAUGUUCCUUGAUCUCAGCUGUCUGUGUAAUUGUUGGGAGCAGCGCCUGCUUUCUCUUCCAGUCUCUGAGGAACAGUGGUCUGCCUAAGGGAGCUGCAACGUCUAUACAGAGGCUGUGCUGUGACUGCUGGAGAUUUCUAACACAUUGGCUGCCAACACUCAGCAAAGAAGUUCCUGGAGAGACAAGACAAAGACGGUCUGUGUUUCAAAAGAAGCCCUCAGCUGAAGAUGGAAGAACCGAAUGUGCCCCACGCAAGGGAACUGGAGAGGAUGAGAAAGCUUGACAAAAAAAACAAAAAACAAACAAACAAACAAACAAAAAAAAAGCUUGACAAGUACGUUGGUUGCUCAGACUUGGUCUUGACGGGAUGAAGGUUCCAUGCGGAUGAUUUCCUCAUCACAGAAAACAAGUGAAACCUAAUGGCAGUGUAGGGCCUUUAUCAAAGUAUGACUUAAUGGAAACACUGACUCAGAAAAAGGUUUCAGCCACUGAUUGACCUCCAACAGACGGUUACACUGUGGGUUGAAGUGUCAAUGAGAUUAACAAUCUGCACUUUUAACAGAAUGAAGGAUUGGUCCUCUGACAACGAAAGUUGACAAACUUCUCUGUAUACCGGCCAUGAACGUGAUUUGAUCGAAACACUUUGUACCAAGAAGACGAUGUUUUCUAUCCAAACAAUAAAGUGACUACGCUCUGUUAGCAUUUUGUGCUUGGGUUUCUUGGGGGUACUCAGCGGCAUGCCAGGACAUCCGGCUUGGGAUUGGAAUCGCCCCGAAAAGCUUCUGAGAUGCUCUCUCCACCUGAUCUGCCCCGGAGACCAUGGGAGGCCAGUUCCGGGUGUUACCAAGUUUGCCUCGCGCUGGAAUCGCUGCUCUUUCUUUCUGAACUCUCAGGAUCCGGCGAUGCCUGUGCCGGGCUCGUGUCACAGUGGCCGCCACCAUGGCUUGGGGCACCGUCUCAGCGGCUUUGCAGAGCCGGGGCUUUCUGCGGUAGUGCCUUCUCCAUCAGCAGUGCUGACUCCAAGCGGGGGGUCCGUUGACUUGGAGACCAAGGCAGGGCCCCUUGGUGUGUGGCCCAUAUCCAAGGGGGGGCAGUGAGCUCACGGAGCAGGAAAAUGUUCUGCUGACACCCUCUUGGAGGGUCUCAGACCCAUGUUCCUGGGGUCCACCGACCCCCGCCACACCUCAUCAGACUGAGUCUCCAGCCCGAUGGGACCCGACCUCCGCCCACGCCUUCCAAGCCGUCCGGGUUGCAAUGGUGAGGGCAGUCUCGAGUGCCCAGCUCACGAUCUGAAUCGCCCUCCUCCUCCGGCCGAUCAGAUCAGGAAAGCCGUGUCAAAGAGGUACGGAGGUCAGAACUGUCCGGCUCCUGCGCUGCUUGUGGCACGCAGCCUCCUUCCCUGGGACUGCCCCGGGCACCGCCUCCAGCAUUGUCCUGUGCGGCUGCCGCCGGGGAGCACGGACACUGCGGCCGGCCAUCCGGGAGCGCCACUGCGCGUGCGCAGGCGGGGCGUCACAAGCGCGAGCGCUGAGCCGGGCUCGCGUCACAGUGACGGUCACCGUGUCCUGGGGAACAGUCUGAGCAACUUGAGAAAGCAGGGGCCCACGGCGGGAGUGCCUCACCGUUGGGCGACGGCUCCCCCCUCACGGCGAUCGUCGCCACGGUCCCGUGAUUUCCGGAGUGCGGCUUGGCAGAACCAGGCGGAGAAAACGUCCAGCGGAGCUUCAGGGAUGCCCAGGGCGAUGGAUCCCCAAGAACCCCCUAGAUGCUUCAGGCUUCCCCAGGCACUGUUGGCGUGUGUCUUCUUGAAAGCUCUCCCUACCGGGAAUUGCAGACACAGCCCAUUGUUCAGGUUCUGAAUCUCACACUUGGAGGCAGCUAAAAGUUGGAAUUGUGAGUCUCAUUCAUGGAUCAGCUUCACAGAUGAGAUAAUGACUCUCGGACCAAGAUUCAUCACACCUCUGAGGCUGUGACUCUACUACUAGGACACAAUCUGAAGCUUGAAUUAAGGUCCCCAGGCACUAAUCUAAUCCAAUAUCUAGAUUCUGACUCACAUAAAUGAACUGAUCACACAGGAGGUGCUGACUGUCAUCCUUAGAGCCGGAUGUGUUUGGGAUUGUUUAUCUCAUCCGUGGACUUUUGUGGAAGUGUGAUUGUGACAUAUGCUGUUGCCCAUAUCCUGAGUGAUUUUUGUUUUCUGACUGGGCCCAGCCCACAGAUAAAAUUGUGACAUAUACCAAGGCCAAGCACCAAGGUAAUAUGACAGUCCUCAUCGGCCUGAACCUGUCACUUAGAAGUGAUUGUUACAUAUUUCUGAAUACAACACCUGGUGAUGUGACUCUCCUCUUGUGUCAAGGCUUUGAGCACAAAGAUUGUGACAUAUCGCUGGGCCCAGCACCUAGAUAAUGUGCUUGUUCUGCCUUAAUUCUCCCCACAGGGAACAUAAUGACAUAUUAUUUAGUCAAUCACCUGGGUGAAGUGAGUGUUCUUUUUGUCCUGGGCCUCGGCCUCAGAAGAACAUAUGACAUACUGCUGGUCCUAGGUGAUUUGGGUCUUCUCUGCUCCCUGAUCUUUGCCAGUAGUGGGGAUUGUGAACUACUGCUUAACCCAGCACCUAAUUUUUCUGACUUACUUCUUUCGCUAAAUCCCCAAAACAGUGGGAAUUGCAAUAUAUUGUGGGGAGCAGCAACUAGGUGAUGUGACUCUCCUCUGUUGCCUGGGCUCUGCCCACAUUGGGCAUUGUUACAUAGUGCUGAGUAUCACCUAAGUACAUAUUACAUUACCUAAGUAAUGUUAUGGUUCUCCUCUGCUUGGGACCUGUCGAUAUCAAGGAUCGUCGCAUGUCACCAGGACCAGAACCCAGGUAAUAUGCCUCUCUUUCCCUGAUCCUGCUUUCAGUGCGGAUUGACAUAUUGCUGUCCUAGCAUCCAGGUGAGGUGACUCUUCUGCCUGGUCUCUCCCUACACGUGGGAUUGUGACAUACACUUGGGCUCAGCUCACUGGUGUAAUGAUGACAAUUAUACCUUAAUCCAGCAAAUAGGAGAGAUACUGACUUUUUUUUAGGCUUAGGGCAAUCUGUGAGGUCUGGGUGUUUUUAGUACAAAGGUAAGAGAAAAUUACAUUACUCAUGCAUAUUUUAUAAGGCUUUCAGUUGGUUCAGAGAGUGUCAUAACAUGGCUCAGCACACACAUGAGACUGUGACUCUCAUAUGCACACCCAGCCAACAGUUAGGAGUUUAACUUACACACAUGUAAAGGUCCCAAAUCUCACCUGUAAAUGCAGUUUGCAGUUAGAAUUGUGACUUUUUUGGAUGCAGCCACAGGUAGGAUGGUGACUCACUUCUGAAUGCAACUGACAGGCACAGUGACAACUCUCAUUCCUGGAUGCAGCAAAGUAGACACAGGUUGGCUCUCAUACCUGGGCUUAGGGCAACAGGUAAAAUCAUGGGUCACACCAGCCCAAAAUUCUCAGAACAGACUGUGACUCUCACGCAUGUCAUAUAAAGCCUUUGGGUGAUACAGAAAAUGUCCUAACAGUGCCAAUUACACAGGUGAGAUUGUGAUCCUUAAAUGCACACCCACCCAAAAGUAGGAAAGUAAGAGUUGUGACUCUCCCACAUGGACACAGCUCACCUUUGAGGUUUGAAUCUGAUACCCAGAGGCAGUUGAAAGUUAAAAUCAUGACUCUCAUUCAUGGAUCCCAUCCACAGGUGGGGUGGUGACUCUUGAACCAGAAUUCAGCACACCGUGAGCCUGUUACUUUCAUAUCAGGACACAGUUUCUAGGUGGGGCUGGAACUCUCACGCACAGAUCCAAUUUACUAUUGAGAUGGUGAGUCAUGUACUUGCACGUAACUCACAGGAGGCGUUGACUCUCAUACCUAAAGCUGGGACUUGUGCAGAAUUGUAAAUCUAACCACUGGACCUUCUUGCAGGUGUGAUUCUAGCACUUGAGAAUCUACUUACCUGUGUUGGCCAAGCCUACACAGUGACAUUAAUAAAAAUCAAGCAUCUAGGUGAUAUAACUCUCCUUUCUGGGCACUGCUCUCAAGGGAGGUUUUUAAAUAUUUCAGAGCCCAGCACAUGAGUAAUAUGAUUAUUUUCUCCUGCCUGGUUCCUGCACAUUGGGAGCAUUGUGACAUAUCACUGGGCACAACACCAAGGUGAUAUGACUCCCCUUUCAUGUCUGUGCCCUGUCCAUAUUAGGGAUUGUGACAUUGCACUGGACCUAGCACUCAGGUGAAGUAAAUAUUCUUUUCUGAUUGGGUUUUGCAUACAGGGGGCAUGGGUGACAUAAUGCAGGGCCCAACAUUAAGGUGAUGUGACUUUACUUCAUGAAGAAUGUCCAAAGGGAGCAUUGUGACAUCUCUCUGGACCCAGCACCUACAUGAUGUGACUCCCUUUUUUCUGGGCCCUUCAUCUAGGGGGAAUUAUGACCUAUUGCUGAAUCUAGCUCCUGGGUGCUGUGACUCUUCUGCCUGAGCCCUGCUCACAGGGGGCAUUUGAGCACAUCUUUGGGUUCAUCACCUAGUGAUGUGACUGUCUCCUUCUGCCUGUGCUUUGCCCACAGAAAAGCCUGGUCCACAUCACUGGGCUGAGCACCCAGGUAAUGUAACUCUCUUUUCUGGACCUUGCCCACAGGGGGCAUUGUGACAUUGCACUGGGUCCAGCACUGAUGCAAAGCACCCAGAGGACAUGAUAAUUCAGCCCCAUCCCUGCUCCCAGCUAAAAGGGAUGAGGAUGACUCUUGUAACUUAACUCAGCUAAUAGGAGAGAUGAGGGCAACCAGUAAGGUCCUCAGUUUCCUAAUUGUAUAAAGAUCAGAAAAGAUUACAUUUCUCAUGCAUAGUAUAUAAAGCACUCAAGUGGUAAAGAGUAUCAUGGCAGGGCACAGCACACAGUUGAGAUAUUGACUCUCAUGUGACACCCAGGCUACAGUUAUAACUGUCACUCUCUCACAUGGACAGAGCCUGCUGGUAAAAUUUAAAUUGAAUCGAGAACACAGUCCACAGUUGAAAUUGUGAUUUUCAUAAGUGAAUAUGGCUACAGUUUCCAUGGUGACUCAUUGAUGGACUCAGAUCACAGGAACCGUUAUAACUCUCAUACCUCGAUCCAGCCAAUAAGAGAGAUGUUCAAUCUCCUUCCUGAUUCUAGGGCAAUGAGUAAGACUGUGAAUCCAUAUAGGCAUGAAGGUCUCAGAGAAAAUUGUGAAUCUCAGGUGUAUACUUUAAAGCCCUUGAGAUGUACCAUGUGUCAUAAUAGGGCCCAGCACACCAGUGAGACUGUAACCCUUGUGUGCACACCCAGCUGAAAGUAAGAUUUGUCACCCUCUCAGCUGAAUACAGCACACUGUUGAAGUCCUAAAUGUCAUAGCUGGAGGCAGUCAAAAUGUAGAAUUAUGUCUCAGACAAGAAUCCAGCCGAGAGUGAGUUAGUGGCUCUCUGACCUGGAUUCAGCUCACUUGUGAGGCUGUGAGUUCCCUACUGGGACAUGGUCUGCUGGUGAGAUUGAGGUCUCAUGCACAUACCCAGUCUGUCACUGAGUUUGUGACUCAUGUACUAGGACCUAACACACAGAUCUUGACUCUCAUAUCCAGAACUUAGACAUAUACAGGAUUGUCAGUCUCAUCCCUGCACCUUCCCACAAAUGUCAUUAUUACAUAUGUCUUUGCCCAGCCCCUCAGUAAUUUGACUUUCCUGCCUGGGUCCAGCCCCAAACUGGAAUUUUGACAUAUACCUGGGCCAAGCACCUAAAUGCUGUGACUUUCUUCUUUUGCCUAGGAGCUGCAAACAGAAAAGAUUGUGACAUAUUGCUAAGCCCAGCAUUUAGGUUAUAUGAUUCUUCCUCCAGCAACAUUGCGAUAUAUUCUUCUCUGGAAAAUGGGACAUUGUAACAUUCCUCCCUGGAACAUGAGACAUUGUCAUUCCUCUCUGUUCCUACAGGGACAUUGUGACAUAUCUCUGGGAUCUAGUUAAUGAACUAGAUUAAGGGACUCCCUUAUACCUGCGUCAUUCCCUCAGGUCGGAUUAUGACAUAUCAUUGGAACGCGGAACCUAGGCGAUUUGAUUCUCCUCUACUGCUGGGCCCCCAUCCACAGUAUGAUGGUAACAUAUUGCUGAACCCACCAACUACAUGAUGUCACUUUCCUUUCCUGCCUGGAAUCUGUUCGGUGGAAACGAGUUAUAUAUUGCUAGGCCCAGCACCUAGGAAAUGUGCCUUUAACCUCCUCACAGUGGGAAAUGUGACAUGUCACUGGGCUCAUCACCUAGGUGAUGUAAUGCUUCUCCCCUUUCUUGACCCACCCACAGUGGGUGUUGUGACGUAUUACCAUGUUCAUCAGCUAAAUGAUGUGACUCUUUUCUCCUGAUUGAGCCCUGCUCAUAGAGAGCAUUGUGACAUUCAGCUUGGCCUUGAAUCCAGAUGAUUUAACUCUCCUACCUAGGCUCUGCCUAUGGGGAACAAUGUGACAUGUCUCCACAUCCAUCACCUAGGUUAUGUGACUCUCCUGUCUGGGUCAGGCUCACAGAGGAGAAUGGAACAUAUCUCUGGACCCAGCACCUAAGUAAAGUAUCCCUAUGCUUUUCCUAGGCCUUGCCUUUAGGGUAAAUUGUGACAUGUAUUUGGAUGUAACACCUAGGUCAUGUAACUCUCCUUUCAUUCCUGGGCAGUGCCCAAGGGGAGACUGUGACAUGUUGCUGAGCCCAGGACCCAGGGGAUGUUACCCUCCUGCCUGGCACUGACAGCUCACAGAAGGCAUUGUGACAUAUCCUUGUGCUCAUCACCCAAGUAAUGGGACUCUAUUUACCUGACAGAAUCCUGUUCUUAGGGAAACCUGUGGCAUAUCACUGUAUCCAGCAUGUAGGUAUGGUGACUUCUGCCUCUGCCCUGCCCACUGGAAAAAUUGUGACAUGUCACUGAACCCAGAACCUAGGUGAUGUAACUUUUCUCCUGUGCCUUACAUACAAAAAUAAUCUAUCCUAGGUGAGGUGACUCUCCUCUACUACAUGUGCCUUGCCCCAAAGGGGCAUUGUGAAGUGUCUCUUGCCCCAUCACCUGGGUGAAGCAGCCAUACUCUUUUGAAUAAUCACUGCCCAGAGCUGUGAUUGUUACAGAACCCUGAGCCCAGUACUCAAGUGGUUUGACUCUGCUGAUGGGCCCUGUGCAAAAAGGGCAGUGUGAUACAUGUGUGGGCCCAUCAACUAAAAAUAUGACUUUCUAUAUUAGUCUGUUCUCAUACUGCUAAUGAAGUCAUACUCAAUAUUGGGUAAUUUCUAAAAGAGGUAGGUUUAAUGGACUCAGAAUUCUACAUGGCUGAGGAGGCCUCACAAUCAUGGUAAAGGAUGAAGGAAGAGCAAAAAGGCAUCUCACACUGUGGCAGCAUAAAGACCCGUACAGGUGAACUCCCCUAUAUAAAACCAUUAGAUCUCAGGAGACAUAUUCAAUAUCUCAAGAACAGUGUAGGAGAACCACCUGUAUAAUUCCAUUAUAUUUAUCUGGCCUUGCUCUUGACACUUUAGGAUUAAUAAAAUUCAAGGUGAGAUUUGGGUGGGGACACUGCCAAAUCAUGUCACUCUUUGCUCCCAUCUGGACCCUGACCAUGGGGGAGAUUUUGACAUAUCGCUGAACCCUUCAUUUUGGUGAUGUAACUGGUCCCUGCCCACAGAGAAUGGUGACGUGUCUCUGGGCUCAGUACCUACUUGAUGGGAUUCUCCUCUCCUGCCUUUACUCUGUCCUAAAAGAAAAUGGUAAUACAUCACUGAGACCAGCACUUAGGUAAUGUCCUUUUCAGCUUCUAUCAGGGCCCUGUCUACAAGGGGCAAGGUGACAUCAUGUGGGAACUAUCUCCAGGUGAUGUGACUUUUCUGCAUUGGCCUGACCUAAAGGGGGAAUUAUGACAUAUCUCUGGGCCAACACCUAGGUUAUGUGACCUUCCUCACCUGCCUGUGCUCUGCCCACAGGAAAUGUCCAAGUAUCUCUGGGCCCAGCACCUAGGUAAUGGGACUCUUCUGUCAAAGCACUUCUUAUAUGAGCCAUUGUGACAUAUUCUUUGGCCCAAGACACAAUGAUGUGACUUUUCACUUCUGCUUGGGCCCUACACAAAGGGGACAUGGUGACAUAUCAAAGGGCUCAUCACCUAGGUGAUGUAAUUUUCCUUUUGCUUGGGCCUUGCCCACAGAAUAAAUAGUGACACAUUGCUGGGCAUUGCACCUAGGUGAUGUCAUAUUUAUUUCUGCUCUGUCCUGUAUUACAGAGGGCAUUGUGACAUCUUGCUGAUCUUAGCACUGAGGAUAUGUAACCUUGGGGCCAGAGCUGAGUCCACAGGUGGACUCUGACAUAUUCCUUGCCCAGCUCCUGGGUGACAUGACUCUUUCUUCCUGCAUGGACCCUGACUUCAGUGAGGAUUCUGGCAUAUUGCUGGGCCCUACACCCAAAUGAUGUGACUUGGCCGCCUGAAUUCUGCCAAAAAAGGCAUUGUGACCUAUCCAGUGGGCCAGAACCUACAUGUUGUGAUUUUCCGCCCCAUUCUGAGCCCUGAAAUAUUGUUUUGCACAGGAUAAGGGGUGAUGUGGAUCUCUAGGCUGGGCCCUGCCCACAAGAGGCAUUGUGACAUAUUGCUGAGCUCAGCAUUCAAGUAAUGUGACUUUCUUGCCAGGGCCCUGAACACGGGUUUAUUGAAAUACUCCUAGAUCAACAUUCAAUCAAUGUGACUCUCCUGCCUGCUGUCUUUUCAUAGGUGGGAUUGUAACAUACCUAGGCCUAGCUCACAGGCAUGAUGAUGACUCUCAUAUGUAGACCCAACUGAGAGAAAACAUGUUGACUCUCAUGGCUAGAAUUAGGGGAAUAGGUAAGGUCCUCUGUUUCCUACUUGUGGUAAUGUCACAGAAGGCGAUGACACGCUUGCAUAUCCUAUAACAUCCUUCGGUGACACAGAGAGUGUCCCAACAGGACCCAACACACAGGUGAGUUUGGCAUCCCAUAGGCACACACCCAGCCAACAAUUAAAACUGUCACUCUUACACAUGGACAGAAUCCACUGGUGACGUCCUGAAUCUCACAUAUGGACAUCGUCCACAGUUAGUGUUGUGGCUGUCAUAUGUAAAUUCAGCAACGUGUGAGAUGAUGACUCAUUUCUUGACCAAGCUCACAGGUGCAAUAAUGACUCUCAUACUUUGAUUUAGCCAA